CAGGAUAGCAGUUGCUUUGUCAGUUUUAUCAGGUAAAGCGAAUGAUUAGAGGCAUUGGGGAAGAAACUUCCUCGACCUAUUCUCAAACUUUAAAUAGGUAAGCUGCCGUGGUUGCUUGAUUGAACCGCGGCGCCGAAUGAGAGCAACUAGUGGGCCAUUUUUGGUAAGCAGAACUGGCGAUGCGGGAUGAACCGAACGCGGGGUUAAGGUGCCAGAAUAUACGCUCAUCAGACACCACAAAAGGUGUUAGUUCAUCUAGACAGCAGGACGGUGGCCAUGGAAGUCGGAAUCCGCUAAGGAGUGUGUAACAACUCACCUGCCGAAUGAACUAGCCCUGAAAAUGGAUGGCGCUCAAGCGUAUUACCCAUACCUCACCGUCAGCGUUAAUAUGACGCGCUGACGAGUAGGCAGGCGUGGAGGUCAGUGAAGAAGCCUUGGCAGUGAUGCUGGGUGAAACGGCCUCUAGUGCAGAUCUUGGUGGUAGU
rnacentral:rRNA from 1 species